rnacentral:lncRNA from 1 species
GAGGUGGUGCAAUUAGUCUGUCAUACUGUUCUGUGUUCACAGCAAGCUCUCAGAGCACUGAGAGCUCCAAUAGCCCAGAUUCCAAUAAAAUAGAAGGAAAAUGAGAAAUAAAAUGAGCUGAGAAGAUGAGGAAAGCAAAACCUAUACCCUGCUCAACUCUAGCACUGCAGACAUGGAUCCUUCUUCCUUCGUACUGCUGUGGAAAGGACAUUUAUUCUACAAAAUUAGUUCACAGAACAGUAUUCUGCAUAGGACUUAUUCUAUGCAGGCAGUAUCUCUUCACCACGUGUCAAAUUUAACUGUGCUCCCACUCUACAAGUCCAAGACUUUUAGAUACUGUGCUUUCUGCAACAAUCAUAAUUGCUUAAAUGAAUCUGUGCUGAAUACGUUAAUAUUUGUAGAUUGGAAGGAAAUGUUCCAAGUUCAUUCUUUCUGAAAGGUGUUCAGAGAAGGUUAGUGAUGGUGGGGAGGGGCAAUGGAGACCACAGGACUGGAAGAGAAGAAAAUAUAGGAUAAGUCCAGGAAAAUUUGGCUGCCGUUUAUAUUUCAAUUCUCUAAUUAAGUCACUCUGUUAAUAUAAUUAAAUUAUUCUCUUUGAGAUUUCUUUAGAUUACCAUAUAUUUUCAUCAAGAGAGCAGUACAACAUUGCUGGAAACAAAUGCUGCUUUAAUAAGCUAAAAUCUAUCACACACAAAUUAAAAAUACAGGUAUGCUUUGAAUAUUCUACUCAUUGCUUUAUCUGUAUUCAUAAAAGAUCAGUAAAGGCAGAAAAAUACACACAAGUCUGCAGCUCAUAAAUUUUGGGGAUUCUUUCCUGAUAGCAUAUCUUUGCCUGACAGAAGGGGAGAAAUAUCUUUGUGAAAAUGGGUUAUCCACCUACAUAAUUCUGGCAGAAAGACUGAGCAGUACAGCAAGCCCAUCUCAGGAAAUGUGAACAUUAGUAUGCUUUUUAGAUAUUCAAAUCCUCCUGGAUUUAUGAACUCAUCCUUAUUAGUCUGUUUGAAGCUUAUUCAGCUCGUUUUCCUUCUGCCAUGGUUUUCUGAUCACUUCUGCUGAGAGGAUAACAAAAGCUGCUUCUGACAACACUGGCCAC